UACGUAGGGUGCGAGCGUUAAUCGGAAUUACUGGGCGUAAAGUGUGCGCAGGCGGCCGAGCAAGUCGAGUGUGAAAGCCCCGGGCUUAACCUGGGAACUGCGCUCGAAACUACUUGGCUUGAGUGUGGCAGAGGGAGGUGGAAUUCCGACGUGUAGCGGUGAAAUGCGUAGAGAUGUGGAGGAACACCGAUGGCGAAGGCAGCCUCCUGGGCCAACACUGACGCUCAUGCACGAAAGCGUGGGGAGCAAACAGG
rnacentral:rRNA from 1 species